rnacentral:rRNA from 1 species
GCGCAGCAGUCGCGAAACUUUACAAUGUGCGAAAGCACGAUAAGGGAACUCUGAGUGCCUCCUAAGGAGGCUGUUCAGGUGUCUAAAAAGCACCUGAAGGAAGGGCUGGGUAAGACCGGUGCCAAGCCGCCGCGGUAACACCGGCAGCCCCAAAGUGGUAAGCCACGUUUAUUGGGUCUAAAAGCGUCCGUAGCCGGCUGGGUAAGUUCCUUGGGAAA